UGACACAUGUUCAACGGCCGCGGUACCCUGACCGUGCAAAGGUAGCAUAAUCAUUUGUUCUCUAAAUAGGGACUUGUAUGAAUGGCCACACGAGGGUUUAACUGUCUCUUACUUCCAAUCAGUGAAAUUGACCUAUCCGUGAAGAGGCGGAUAUGCUCAAAUAAGACGAGAAGACCCUAUGGAGCUUUAAUUUAAUAAUACAAAUUUCCACAUAUAAACCUACAGGUAAUAACCUAACACCCCUGUAUUAUAAAUUUUGGUUGGGGUGACCUCGGAGCACAGCAAAACCUCCGAAAAAUACUCACCAAGACCUCACCAGUCUAAGUAAACUUAUACUAUUGACCCAAUAACUUGAUCAACGGACCAAGUUACCCUAGGGAUAACAGCGCAAUCCUAUUUUAGAGUCCAUAUCGACAAUAGGGUUUACGACCUCGAUGUUGGAUCAAGACAUCCUAAUGGUGCAGCCGCUAUUAAGGGU
rnacentral:rRNA from 1 species